AGUUCUUAAACUUUAUUCGUCAAUUUCAGCUGAAGUCUGUGCAGGAGGGGUAAAUGAAGUUGGACACCAUGGAUAUAGUUUUUCUCGCAGAGUUACAGAACCAUUUGACACACGCGAGUCUUCAGGUGAUUACCAUCGUUUUUCGGCUCCCCUUGAACCAGUGAGGCACCCUGCACCCUUCCGAGAGGUUUCACAAAAUCAACUUCGGCCCAUACGCCGGGGAGCAGAUCAUCCUCAACCUCUGCCAGGAAGUCACCUCGCACAAAGUGAACACGCAAUGUGUGCCGAGAGCAGGGGCCGACCUGACGAAUGGUUGUCGCACAUCAAUGCUGAAGGCUGUCGUGAUAACGUUCCCUAUGACAGCCACGAUGGAGGCUCUCAAUCAUGGCCAGGAGUACGUCGGGCGAACACUAUUGAACGC